UACGGAGGAUCCAAACGUUGUCCGGAUUUAUUGGGUUUAAAGGGUGCGUAGGUGGAUAAUUAAGUCAGGGGUGAAAGCCUGCAGCUCAACUGUAGAACUGCCCUUGAAACUGAUUAUCUUGAGUGCGGUUGAGGUAGGCGGAAUGUGUCAUGUAGCGGUGAAAUGCUUAGAUAUGAUACAGAACACCGAUUGCGAAGGCAGCUUACUAAACCGUAACUGACACUGAGGCACGAAAGCAUGGGGAGCAAACAGG
rnacentral:rRNA from 1 species